rnacentral:rRNA from 1 species
UACGGGGGGGGCAAGCGUUGUUCGGAAUUACUGGGCGUAAAGGGCUCGUAGGUGGCCAACUAAGUCGGACGUGAAAUCCCUCGGCUUAACCGGGGAACUGCGUCUGAUACUGGAUGGCUUGAGUUCGGGAGAGGGAUGCGGAAUUCCAGGUGUAGCGGUGAAAUGCGUAGAUAUCUGGAGGAACACCGGUGGCGAAGGCGGCUUCCUGGACACCAACUGACGCUGAGACGCGAAAGCGUGGGGAGCAAACAGG